CCAGGCCGGCAUAGCUCAGGGCGAAGCGGCCUGGGAAGCUGUUCUUGGCCGUCCCAAGGAGUGGACUCAUGCCACUGUGUCUGGGUACCCCUAAGGGUCUUCGAAAAGGGGGCACUUUCCCACUGCCUAGAACCCCACCCCACCUAGUCUUGAAGCCUUGCUAAGACCUCCCUCUAGGGAGUAGAGAAGUUGCUAGGGGCGCCGGGGGGUCCAGAGCCAGCUGUCCUGGCACCCAGAAACCUUCUUAGCUCCCGAGCAGCCCUGGGGCAGACUCAGAGAUUAAAGCCUCUUCCCUGGGGAGGGGACAAGACGGGGCGCAGGGGAGGCCAGGCCAUUUUCCCUUCAGCAAAUGGACCCAGGUGCCUCAGUCUCUAAGGACCUGGACCCACCCCCCUCCCCACGGUAACCACAUAAAUGACCCAAGACAAGGAGGUACGCCUUAUUUGUUUAUAUCUGCCUCUUCACGAUAGGUCAGUUUUUCUGGUUAAAAGUAAGAGACAUUGCUCCAAGAACAGCAUCCUCAGCCUUCAUCUGAGACAGGCCCAGGCAAACAGCCUUCCCAGCAGCCCCAUGGGAUGACUACCACGACUGCCCCCAUUUCACGGACGAGGAAACGGAGGCCCAUAGAGGUUAGCUCAUUUGCCACACAGCCAUAGGGUGGCCGGGUCUGGACCUCAUCCUAUGUCUGCCUAGUCACUGGACGCCAGGUAGAGGGGACUCCCUUACAAUGCAGGGAGACAAGCACUGAGCGUCAAGGUUGGGGAGGCAGCAGGGACUGCCGGGAUGCAAGAGACACCCAGUUCCGCCCCAAGCACAGUGGCUGCUCUGGAGUGGGGAGGUGAGGGGCUUGUCACUAGAGGCUCCCAAGUGGAUGGGGAUGAGGAGGCUCUGUCUGUCCCGGCAUUGGCUGUGGUUCAGAUGUGGAGUACGGGUGAGCAAUCCAGCCUCCAGUUCCAGGGAGUGGGCUUUCCAUGUGCCCCUGGGAAAGGGCCUGUCUGAGCCUCGUUUUCUUCACCUAUAAAAUCAGGAGCGGAAGGGCACCUGCCCCACCAGGCCAGUGUGGAGACUGAAGCAGACUGCCCAGCCAGCAUCGCGCAGUGCCCAGCACACAGGGAGUGAGAGUGAGUGUCCCCUCUGCUUUUGCUGACCAGUCAUUGGUGUGUCCUCACCCAAAGCCUGGGAUGGAUGGGCAGCAACUGGACACCCUGGCUUACAACAGAUGCCUUAGGAGAGAAGAGGAAUCUGAGGUUCAGAGAGGACCCAGCUCACCAGAGGAAGAACAGGAUUCAGACCUAGAAGAAUCGACUUCCAGAACCUGCGUUCUUCCUCACCACUCUGCUUCCCCAGUGCCUGUUGAGUGGGUACCGGGGCUGUCCCUGCCCGGCGGAGGCCUGACAGAUGGCUGCCUCGCAGGGUUGCUGCGUCAUCGAUUCUCUGCUGAGCCCCAGCCCAGCUUGAGCUGCCUGCCUGGCUCCCAAGCACAGCAUCAACAGUGGAACACAGCUUGCAAGCAUUAAACAUGUGCCCAUAUUUUCCAACACCCGCAUGAAAACGCUAUUCGUCAUGAGACAAUGGCCUGGAAUGUGCUUGGGAACCAGGCAGAGAGCUAGGGUGGGAAGGAACCUGAACAGGGUCUGAGAGAGCACAGGGGACCUCCUGUACCACUCUGGGGGUCCACAGGGGAGUGGCUGAGUCAGUAAGGGGGCCUGUGACUCAGACACAGGCAGGGGGAAGUGGCCGGAAGGCAGGGACACAUGCCAUUUAGGGAAGGCUCCUCCCUCCGUGGCGAUGGAGCUUUUGGCCCAGCAGGGGCGGUGCUGCUGGCUGUGCCCUUCACACACAGCCCAGAGGCCCCGUGGACGCGGCUCUGCCUCUCCAUCUUGGGCUGCUGGCUGCCGCCUGGACAGCUGCUGCCCCUUCCAGGUCCGCUGGGGGCAGGACCAGCUUCUCUUUGGUUUCUCUGAAACAUACCAGGAGCUCUCAGAGGAGCAAUCUGCCCUCAGCCUGCUCACAACUUCCUGGAGCCCAGCAGAGGGGGUGGUCACUUUUCCUUAAGAACUGAGUCCACACAGCCUUGCCCAUGGAGAUUCCUUUUGGGGCAGCUCCAAGGCCAAGGCUCAUGCUGGGACCCGGGAAGGAGAGAUGUGGCUCUGCAUCCCUAGCAGCCUCUCCACUGCCCUGGAGCAGUGUCUGCUUGGAGGUGACUGCACCACACCUGCCAGGCUAGUGUGAGCCUUUGAGUCACUGUCCCUCCCAUCACUAAUACUAGCAAGCAUUGAACACACCAGGCGCCAGCCCUGGACAGCCGCAGGCCUCAGUGGGAGAUGCUCUCCCAAACCACCACCUGGCAUCCAUACAUAGUUCCUGCUUCAGGUGAAACCCGGGCCAGGAUGGGCAGGAGUAGUAGUAAGGUGCCAACUGGCUUUGUAGGUGCUGCAGGUGUCUGGGUGACUCUAGACUGGCCAGUCACACUCUAAGGUCAUGUGGUCUAGGCUGGCAGGAGCCCUGCCUCAUAGCAGAAGGGGUGGUGGGAGAAAGGCACGGACAGGCUGGAUGGGAGCCAGGAGCCUGGCACUAUUUUCUUUGUCCUGUCCUGGGUUGGGGGAAGGGGCCACACACUGCAUCUCUUCCAGGGAUAAGAUAGGUCACUGAUUUGGGCAAAGCCAGGCCUUGAUGUAGAGGACAAGACUUCCUAGGGGCUUCACCCUACAACACCCCCUUCUCCAGGCUAUGUGCAGAGCAGAAGAGCUGCUAUGCAAACACCACUCUGAGGGUAUAGCUGGCUGUGGCCAGGGGCCUCUCCCACCCUGAUUUGUUCCUGCAGGCCUGGAGCAGGGAACGGGGAGGCCCAGCUCAUAGUGGGAGAGAGGGAGAAGUUCCUUGCAGAACACUCUCACCCUGGGGAGGGCAGGGCCUGGCCCAUUAGAAGCUGGGGACAGCUGGGGCCUGCUCGGGAGGAGCUGGGGAAUGGCUCCUUCGCCAGGUGUCUGUAGGAGGAGGGCCCUGUGCUGUGGGUGAAGCCCAGGAGGGCAGAGGACGGAGCUUGGGUCUCCUUGGGAGUUGGCAUUCUGGCACCCUGCUGUGCUCUGCCAUGGGAAAGCUAGACUUCGCCAUGUGCCUUCGGGGAAGACAUGAGACUUCGCAUGACCUCAUGUCCCUGCACCCUCUGAAAAUAGGACCAGCAAAGUGACCAAGGCCAGAAACACCUCCCCAUCCUCACUGUCAGCUGAUCCUUUCCAGGUCCCUCGGCUGUUUGCUCAGGAUACUUGUGCUGGCUCCCUUUGGGGACCCUCCGCUGGCUCUGGUCACUAAGUAGGGGUACAUUGUUGCUCCCACCACCCCCACCUGCCUGGUGAUUCUUAGGACGCUGAGCCAUGUGCUGGGGAUGUGAACCCAUGCACUCACUGGGUGCAGGCUCUGUCCUCCCCACCCCUCCUUCCUCGGGUCUGGCCUCUUUAGGAGGGUGACCAAGGGAGCAGCAGAUGAUGCAUCUGACCUGUGGUGGGGGUGUUUAGGGUGAGUGCCCAGCUGGGGAGGAGGAGAGGCUGAGGGUCCAGCCAGGAAUGCCCCUCCGCCAGCUGGCCUGCCAGCACUGGCCUCCAGAGCCCUCGGUGGAUGCAGCCUGCCCCUCUGGUGAGCCAACCUGGGACUCAUGGGCAGAGAUGUCGACGGGGCAACAGAUGAACUCAAGAAAGUUUACGGGGAAGUGGAGACCGAAGUGACCAUCCCCUCCCAGGGGCCUCUGACAUUCCUGACUGUCCCAAACAAUAAGCCACCAGCAGUGUGGAGAACAGCUGGCCCAGUGGGAAGAUACCCUGGACCCAAACCCUAAAAAGAGACAGCAAGGUUGAGAAAUGAGUGUGGAGGAUGGGGGCGCCCGCUCCUGAUCAGCAUGCUCUCAGCUGCUGUCUCUACUCCAGCCUUCACUGGCCCCACAACGCUGCCCUCCCCAUGACGAACAGAGGACUCAGAAGAGUCCUCUGAAUUUGCCUUAGCUGGCAAAUUCCAGGCGGGAUAGGUGUACCCCAGCUCCUCAGUUUUUCACUACGCUCCACCUUGUCCACUCUCGCGAGCCAUGAUGGGACGUCCUUCCAAAUGGAGCCUUGUUGGUGGCCCCAUGAGGCAAAAGUGUGGGUGAUUUUACUUGGUACCUCCUGUUAGGCUGGGUCACACAAAUGGCCUCAGUGGAUACAGAUACAGGAAGGGCUCCUCCUGCUGCCCGACCAUGCCCUGCAACUAGCCACCGGGUUCUUCAUGCCUCUGCAUCUCCAGUCUGGCACCAGGACCCCCGGGUGGCGCCCCUCUCCCAAUCCAGUGGGUCCAGUUCUCCAGCCCCACUGGCCCAGCUGGGACCUGGCUGCAAGCCCAGCUCUUUGGUUAGGGAGUGUUGUGGGUCACGGAGUCAGUGAUCGAUGCGCUCCCUGGCAGGCUGUUGGCAGCUCUGGACAGGGAUGGGGUUCUCAUAUGGGUGACUGAGCAGGCAGUCCUGGCUCCAGGUCCCUCAUAGGCUGGGCUGGAUGGUGAUUCUGAAGAGAGUGUGGGGUAGGUGAACUCCACUGGUCUCUCUGCAAGCAGCCUUAGGGCUAGGCGAACUGGUAGGAGGGCAACAGGCUUCGGGUGCCUGCUGAGGGCAGGGCAUCCUGGCUCAGAGGCCCCUCCCUUCUCCCUGUAGCCAGGCCUCCUUCCUUCAUUUCCAUCCCUGGCUGCUGCUGGUGGCUCACUGACCAAGCACAGAAAGACAAGCUCUUGUUUUUCUUUUCUCUUUUGAGAACGAGUCUCACUCUGUCACCCAGGCUGGAGCACAAUGGCGCAAUCUUGGUUCACUGUAACCUCCGCCUCCCGGGUUCAAGCGAUUCUCUUGCCUCGGCCUCCUGGGUAGCUGGGAUUAUAGGAAUGUGCCACGAUGGCAGGCUAAUUUUUGUAUUUUUAGCAGAGACAUUUUGGCCAGGCUGGUCCUGAACUCCUGACCUCAAGUGAUCCAUGUGCCUCAGCCUCCCAAAGUGCUGGGAUUACAGGCGUGAGCCACCUUGCCCGGACUCCCCUUGUUUCUUUUCUAUGCUGGACGCUGGUUGGUGCCCACAUCCCUCCCCUUCAGUGGUCCAAGGCCAAUGGCCAGUGCUUUCCUAGGAGACAGCUGGAGUCUCACGGCCAAUAAAUCUGAGGUGCAACCUAAUAUCAAGGCUAAAAACUAUAGAGAAGGCCUGGGGCCGCUCCCACCGGAAAAGGGCCUCCUCCCUGCCUUUCCUGCCCCACAGCUGGGAUCCUUUAGGAAUUUAAAGUGGAAGCAGCUUUUGGGUCAGUAUACUGUUAGGAUGGGGAGAGGAGGGAGUGGCCUCUCAUUUAGAGUCCAGAAUGCUCCAGAAUCUCACUGCAUCCUGCCCCUCCCCCUCUGCUCUCUUCCCUUCCAACUCUCUGCUUCCAAGUAUGAAAAUUGUGAAUCCGUUUUAUUUAUUUCAAUCAAUCCUCGGCAGUGUGCCCCUCAGGGCAAAGGCAGCCAUGGUAACCCUGCCAACUCAUGCCUUAAAAAUUCAUCGUGUUUAAUGCAGUUGAUGCGUCUGGUACACUUUAAAGUUUCUUUCGGAGAGUGGAGGUGGGAGGAGGAGGAGGAUGCAGGACUUGUUUUUCUGGGUUUUGCUAGGAGCUGGUGAAAAGGGGAUGGAGGGUGGAGGGGCACAGGAAGAGGCCUUCAGUCCUCUUAGCCAUAUCUGUCUCUCUGUGCAAGAGGAGCUGCCAUCGGGCUUUGGGGGGUUCCAGACAAAAGGGCUGGGCUCAUCUAGAGACCUCCAGAGAAGGUCUCAUCUGGAUGGAAGCUGCCACAGAAAACCAAAUAGUCUCCUGGAGGCAGUGGGGGUCCCAGUCCCCCAGGAUGAGCAGGUCCCUCACCCUAGGUUUGGGGCUUGCUCUAGGGAUGGAGUUGAGAGCGGGGCAGAGCAGGAGAGAUGACUCCCGCUUUCUGCACUGCCCAGGGUGGAGUCAGGUGGCCCUUGCUGCCAUGGGAGGGGCUCUGCCUUCUCCUCAGGGUGGACGUCAUCAUCUGCCUGGGCCCAUCGGGCUGGCUUGGCCUUUUUUCUUUUUCAGACAGAGCCUUGCUCUGUUGUCCACUGCAAUUUGAUUGGCUCACUGCAACUUCCGCCUCCCUGGUUCAAGUGAUUCUUCUGCCUCAGCCUUCUGAGUAGCUGGGAUUACCAGCACACACCAACACACCCGGCUAAUUUUUGUAUUUUUAGUGAAGACAGGAUUUCACCAUGUUGGCCAGGCUGGUCUUGAACUCCCGACCUCAGGUGAUCCGCCACUUUGGCCUCCCAAAACAGUGCUGGGAUUAAAGGGGUGAGCCACCGCACCCACCUUGGCCUGUGUUCAUUCACAGGUACUCAAAGCCCCCUGCCCUUUCCCAGGACAGCCCUCCCCUGUCUCCUGCCUCAGCUGCUGCUAGUUCCCACCAAUUUCCUUCCUAAAGAGGUGCUUGGCCCCUGAACCUUGGUGCCUUUUCCACUUAGACCACAAGGCCUAGGGCUGGGACCCUACAGGCAAUGGGGGAGAUGAAUGCUUGUAGGACAGAAAAUUAAUGGCCAGGAAGGGACAAGGUGGCCUGGGUUACUUUGGCCAUGGGGCUGGGCAUGCAGGCGGAACCGCAGGCCGAUGGGCCUGGGAGACUGGCAAGUGUUGGACUGGGUUAUCAGGGUUCUUGGGGGGUGUCUGGCUCUGGCAGAAGCAUUUCACAAUCUGCAAGGAGCCCCUGUGAGGGGAAUCAGUAGGCGUAUGACUCCCAGUGCGGUCUGGGUUUGUGUCCCAGAAAAGAGGCUGCGCCUUCUAUCCCACAUAGAGACACCCCAGAAUAUGGCUGGAUGCAGGUCAGAUGGCGGGGCUCGUCACCCUGUGCUGGAGGCUCUGAAGCUGAGAUGGCAGAGAGGACUGACGGGGACUCUGCUGAGAUAGCGUCUCCGUGCUGGAGCAAAAGGCAGUGUGAGGAGGACAAGGCCGGGGUGAGUAGAC